rnacentral:misc_RNA from 1 species
CGAGCCGGCCGCGCGUCGCCGCCGCUGUUUUCGAGGCCCCGAUCAUCGAUAUCGAGCCAGAAAGACUCGAGCACAUCAAGGCACAGAUACUUACCAAGCUGGGCCUUUCAGCGAGGCCAACGCCCCAGGGCGCUCCUCCACGUGACGUUGUGAGACAGAUACUGGCCCGGGCGGCCGACCCGCACCACGAGCGCCCCCCGGAACACGAGAACAGCAUGAGAGAAAUAAUUGCGAUAGCUCAUAGAGGUGACCGUAAGACCUUCAUUUUCUUAACUUUAAGAUGUCUAAAAAGAGUACCUAAUAUUAGUUUAAAAAGUGCCUGUGUGUGUGUGCGUGCGUGCAUGUGUAUGUGUCUGUGUGUGUGAAUUACACAGAACAGAAACAGCAGAAGUGAAACUUUUGUAAAGUCGUAGGAAUUUGUAGUAUCGACGAUGAUUACAGUCUCGCGAAA